rnacentral:rRNA from 1 species
CGCGUAGGCGGUAUGCCAAGUCAGGGGUGAAAGGCCUGGGCUCAACCCAGGAACUGCCUUUGAAACUGGCAAACUAGAGUCCGAAAGAGGAUGGCGGAAUUCCCAGUGUAGAGGUGAAAUUCGUAGAUAUUGGGAAGAACACCAGUGGCGAAGGCGGCCAUCUGGAUCGGAACUGACGCUGAGGCGCGAAAGCGUGGGGAGCAAACA